rnacentral:rRNA from 1 species
UACGAAGGGGGCUAGCGUUGUUCGGAAUUACUGGGCGUAAAGCGCGCGCAGGCGGUUCUUCAAGUCAGAGGUGAAAGCCCCGAGCUCAACUCGGGAAUUGCCUUUGAGACUGAGGGACUUGGGUACGGGAGAGGUGAGUGGAAUUCCGAGUGUAGAGGUGAAAUUCGUAGAUAUUCGGAAGAACACCAGUGGCGAAGGCGGCUCACUGGCCCGUUACCGACGCUCAGGCGCGACAGCGUGGGGAUCAAACAGG